GGAGCCGUCGUUCAACGGAUAGGACCCAGACCCUCUAAGUCUGCGAUACAGGUUCGAUUCCUGUCGGCUCUACCA
rnacentral:tRNA from 1 species